AAGGACGUCGCUAAGCAUUUGUGGAAUCUACAACGGAAUAUGUGAUGGGACAGUUAUAGAUGGAAUAUAGCCGUCGCUAAAUCAUAUUUCUGACAGAAUUUAUGACGGAUAUGUAGCGACAAUAGGAUCCCUCGCAAAACCUGUCGCUAAUGACAUCCUUAUAGUAACCAUCACAAAAUCCGUCACAAUUUGCGACGGAAAUUAAACCCUCACAAAUAUCCGUC
rnacentral:lncRNA from 1 species